UACGUAGGGGGCAAGCGUUGUCCGGAAUCAUUGGGCGUAAAGAGCUCGUAGGCGGUCUGUUGCGUCCGCUGUGAAAACUCGGGGCUUAACCCCGAGCCUGCAGUGGAUACGGGCAGACUAGAGGUAGGUAGGGGAGAAUGGAAUUCCCGGUGUAGCGGUGAAAUGCGCAGAUAUCGGGAGGAACACCGGUGGCGAAGGCGGUUCUCUGGGCCUUACCUGACGCUGAGGAGCGAAAGCGUGGGGAGCGAAACAGG
rnacentral:rRNA from 1 species